UCUUAUCCAGAAAGGCGGAGGGACUGGCCCGUUGAAGCCUUGGCAGCAGACUUGAUUUGUACUGUGCUAAUUCCAGAAGCAUUUUUGCUUGAAGAUAAG
rnacentral:ncRNA from 1 species